rnacentral:misc_RNA from 1 species
AAAUUUCUGAUUUUGGAUUGGCAAGAACAUUUGGAAGAGAACAAAGUCCGACAAACACAAAUAGAGUUGUUGGGACAUAUGGUUAUAUGCCACCUGAGUAUGCCAUUGAUGGUCUCUUCUCAGUAAAAUCCGAUGUUUUUAGUUUUGGUGUUAUAAUUUUAGAAAUAGUCAGUGGAAAGAGAAAUCGAGGAUUUUCCCUUGGAGGUCUUGGUCACAACCUUCUUGGAUAUGCAUGGAGGCUGUGGGUGAAAGGGAGGCCUUUAGAACUAAUUGAUAAAUCAUUAUAUGACUCGUGCGGUCCAUCUCAGGUUCUACGAUGCAUCCAGGUGGGCUUGUUAUGUGUGCAACAGCUGCCAGAGGACAGGCCGAAUAUGUCAACUGUGGUUUUAAUGUUGGUAAGUGACACUUUUCUGCCUCAGCCAAAGCAGCCUGGUUUUUACACUGAGAGAAAUCCAUAUGAAGCAGAAUCUUCGUCGAGGAAAGAAAGCAAUUAUUCAGGAAAUGAAAUCACCACUACCAUAAUAGAUCCUAGAUAGAAAUUGAAAUCUCCAUUUUAUUUUCCCCCUUUUAUCCAUGCUGUUCCUUUUUGAUUUUAAACAUAUUUAUAAAUACAAGUAUUUAUGCAAUGUAUUUUUAGUGUUUACUUCUGAUAUUUCAUCUGUUUUUUUCUAAACGAAAUAUUAAUAGAAGGCCUUGGUAUUGUCCACGGAGAAAAUAGUGAGAGAAACAUAAAGUUUAUAC